GACAGAGGAUGCAAGCGUUAUCCGGAAUUACUGGGCGUAAAGAGUUGCGUAGGUGGCAUAGUAAGCGAAUAGUGAAAUCGUACGGCUCAACCGUAUACCCAUUAUUUGAACUGCUAAGCUAGAGUAUGAGAGAGGUAGAUGGAAUUCCCAGUGUAGGAGUGAAAUCCGUAGAUAUUGGGAGGAACACCGAUGGCGUAGGCAGUCUACUGGCUCAUUACUGACACUAAGGCACGAAAGCGUGGGGAGCAAACGGG
rnacentral:rRNA from 1 species